AUGAACGCUAGCGGCCGGCCUAACACCUGCCAGUCGCGGGGUAGAAGGAGCUUGCUCCUUUGAGACCGGCGCACGGGUGCGUAACGCGUAUGCAAUCUACCUUGUACAGGGGAAUAGCCCAGAGAAAUUUGGAUUAAUGCCCCAUAGUAUAUAACCUUCGCAUGUUGGUUAUAUUAAAGUUCCAACGGUACAAGAUGAGCAUGCGUCCCAUUAGUUAGUUGGUAAGGUAACGGCUUACCAAGACGAUGAUGGGUAGGGGUCCUGAGAGGGAGAUCCCCCACACUGGUACUGAGACACGGACCAGACUCCUACGGGAGGCAGCAGUGAGGAAUAUUGGUCAAUGGUCGCAAGACUGAACCAGCCAUGCCGCGUGCAGGAAGACGGUCCUAUGGAUUGUAAACUGCUUUUAUACAGGAAGAAACCCUCCCACGUGUGGGAGCUUGACGGUACUGUAGGAAUAAGGAUCGGCUAACUCCGUG
rnacentral:rRNA from 1 species